AUGCAAGACUCUACACUUGCCCUUGUUGAAUUUCAUCAAGUUUCUCCCUGCCCAACUCUCCAGCCUGUCCAGGUCUCACUGAAUGGCAACACAGCCUUCUGGUGUGUCAGCCACUCCUUCCAAUUUAGUAUCACCACCCAUUUGCUGCUGGCAUUUCCAUCAUUCUAUUUCCCAUCUCUCAGUUUUCCAUUUAGUUCUACACUCUCAGAAAAGCGCUUUCCCUGGAGUCCACUAAAGUUACUUUUUCUGAAGGAAUUACAUCCUUUAAAAGAAGAGAACCAAACAAAAACAUCUAGCUGUGGAAACCCUUCCAUGAUGGGACUGAGGGUAAGAAGCUAACAUCCAAAUUGCUGCAUGGUAUUAUUCUCAGGUCAGUGUAAAUUUGGAAUAGCUAUGCUCAUGUAAACAGAAUCAAGCAUAGAAUAAACUUUUUGUACUCCACA
rnacentral:lncRNA from 14 species